CCUACGGGAGGCAGCAGUGGGGGAUAUUGCACAAUGGGGGAAACCCUGAUGCAGCGACGCCGCGUGGGUGAAGAAGCGCCUCGGCGCGUAAAGCUCUGUCAGCAGGGAAGAAAAUGACGGCACCUGAAGAUGAAGCCCCGGCCAACUACGUGCCAGCAGCCGCGGGAAUACGUAGGGGGCAAGCGUUAUCCGGAUUUACUGGGGGUUAAGGGGGGGCAGGCGGCGAUGCAAGCCAGGAGGGAAAGUCCGGGGGCGAACCCCGGGACUGCUCUUGGAACUGCGUGGCUUGAGAGCAGGAGGGGCAGGCGGAAUGCGUGGUGUAGCGGUGAAAUGCGUAGAUAUCGGGAAGAACACCGAUGGCGAAGGCAGCCUGCUGGAGGGGAACUGACGUUGAGGCCCGAAAGCGUGGGGAGCGAACAGGAUUAGAUACCCUGGUAGUC
rnacentral:rRNA from 1 species